rnacentral:tRNA from 1 species
GAAAUAUAUUAUAUAUUAAGCUUCUAACUUAAUUUUAGCGAUUUAACGUUUAUAUUUCU